rnacentral:misc_RNA from 1 species
GUAUAGAUUUUAUUGGGACAACAUUCUAUUAACAUACAUUGGGGGACAAAUGAAUAAGCAACAUAGACCUGAGAAAGGUCUACAAGAGGUGCACAGGUGGGGACAUAAAGAUGACAAGGCGUGCACAUGCUCCCUAGAGAACCAGCAACAACCCAUCAGGUUUAUUUCAAUAAUGAUCCUUCCGCAGGUUCACCUACGGAAA